rnacentral:rRNA from 1 species
AGAGUUUGAUCCUGGCUCAGAUUGAACGCUGGCGGCAGGCCUAACACAUGCAAGUCGAGCGGAAACGAGUUAUCUGAACCUUCGGGGGACGAUAACGGCGUCGAGCGGCGGACGGGUGAGUAAUGCCUAGGAAAUUGCCCUGAUGUGGGGGAUAACCAUUGGAAACGAUGGCUAAUACCGCAUGAUGCCUACGGGCCAAAGAGGGGGACCUUCGGGCCUCUCGCGUCAGGAUAUGCCUAGGUGGGAUUAGCUAGUUGGUGAGGUAAGGGCUCACCAAGGCGACGAUCCCUAGCUGGUCUGAGAGGAUGAUCAGCCACACUGGAACUGAGACACGGUCCAGACUCCUACGGGAGGCAGCAGUGGGGAAUAUUGCACAAUGGGCGCAAGCCUGAUGCAGCCAUGCCGCGUGUGUGAAGAAGGCCUUCGGGUUGUAAAGCACUUUCAGUCGUGAGGAAGGUAGUGUAGUUAAUAGCUGCAUUAUUUGACGUUAGCGACAGAAGAAGCACCGGCUAACUCCGUGCCAGCAGCCGCGGUAAUACGGAGGGUGCGAGCGUUAAUCGGAAUUACUGGGCGUAAAGCGCAUGCAGGUGGUUUGUUAAGUCAGAUGUGAAAGCCCGGGGCUCAACCUCGGAAUAGCAUUUGAAACUGGCAGACUAGAGUACUGUAGAGGGGGGUAGAAUUUCAGGUGUAGCGGUGAAAUGCGUAGAGAUCUGAAGGAAUACCGGUGGCGAAGGCGGCCCCCUGGACAGAUACUGACACUCAGAUGCGAAAGCGUGGGGAGCAAACAGGAUUAGAUACCCUGGUAGUCCACGCCGUAAACGAUGUCUACUUGGAGGUUGUGGCCUUGAGCCGUGGCUUUCGGAGCUAACGCGUUAAGUAGACCGCCUGGGGAGUACGGUCGCAAGAUUAAAACUCAAAUGAAUUGACGGGGGCCCGCACAAGCGGUGGAGCAUGUGGUUUAAUUCGAUGCAACGCGAAGAACCUUACCUACUCUUGACAUCCAGAGAACUUUCCAGAGAUGGAUUGGUGCCUUCGGGAACUCUGAGACAGGUGCUGCAUGGCUGUCGUCAGCUCGUGUUGUGAAAUGUUGGGUUAAGUCCCGCAACGAGCGCAACCCUUAUCCUUGUUUGCCAGCGAGUAAUGUCGGGAACUCCAGGGAGACUGCCGGUGAUAAACCGGAGGAAGGUGGGGACGACGUCAAGUCAUCAUGGCCCUUACGAGUAGGGCUACACACGUGCUACAAUGGCGCAUACAGAGGGCGGCCAACUUGCGAAAGUGAGCGAAUCCCAAAAAGUGCGUCGUAGUCCGGAUUGGAGUCUGCAACUCGACUCCAUGAAGUCGGAAUCGCUAGUAAUCGUGGAUCAGAAUGCCACGGUGAAUACGUUCCCGGGCCUUGUACACACCGCCCGUCACACCAUGGGAGCGGGCUGCAAAAGAAGUAGGUAGUUUAACCUUCGGGGGGACGCUUACCACUUUGUGGUUCAUGACUGGGGUGAAGUCGUAACAAGGUAGCCGUA